AGCGAACGCUGGCGGCAGGCCUAACACAUGCAAGUCGAACGAACCUUUCGGGGUUAGUGGCGGACGGGUGAGGAACACGUGGGAACGUGACUUCAGGUUCGGAAUAACUCAGGGACAGUUGUGCUAAUACCGAAUGUGCCCUUCGGGGGGAAGAUUAAUCGCCUUUAGAGCGGCCCGCGUCUGAUUAGCUAGUUGGUUGAGGUAAUGGCUCACCAAGGCGACGAUCAGUAGCUGGUCUGAGAGGAUGAUCAGCCACAUUGGGACUGAGACACGGCCCAAACUCCUACGGGAGGCAGCAGUGGGGAAUCUUGCGCAAUGGGCGAAAGCCUGACGCAGCCAUGCCGCGUGAAUGAUGAAGGUCUUAGGAUUGUAAAAUUCUUUCACCGGGGACGAUAAUGACGGUACCCGGAGAAGAAGCCCCGGCUAACUUCGUG
rnacentral:rRNA from 1 species